UGUCGUGUGGACGCAGCCUUAAUACGGUCAAGUUGUCUCAUUUCCGAGCUGCCACCACAACUGCAGAGUUUAAAUGACAGGAGACAGCAUGAUGCAAUCACGUUGACAUUCAUUCAUUAGUUUUGACUAAAAAUCUGACUAUAUGGACAUAUCUGAUCAAAAGUGUGACUCUAAAUUCACUUUAAAAUCAAUAUCAAUAUAUCUAUAAUUAUUUCGCAAGAAAACUGGAAACACUAACUUAUCUGGAAGACAUAAGCUUAAAUGGGCCGGUCAGAGUCAACCAAACGGCUGAAUGUAACUCAUGGGCUGGACAAUGCCCAGGUCUGGUCUAAGGGAUGGGUCGCAGAGGCAGCAGUCUAAGCAGGAACUCCCAGACUUCCCUCACCCCAGACACUUCUUCCAGCUCCUCCAGGGAAACCCCAAGGUGUUCCCAGGCUACCCAAGAGACAUUCCAGUGUCAUUCCAGUGUCAUUCUCAGUGUCCUAGGUCUUUCCUAGGGCCUCCUCCCGAUGGGACAUGAACACCUCUCCAGGAAGGCGUCCGAAGAGAUGCCCGAGCUACUUCAGCUGGCUCCUCUCAACAUGGAGGAAUUUUACUCCGAGCUCCUCCCGUGUGCCUGUGCUCCUUUCUGCCCAUUUCAAGCAAUAUCAUAGUUACUCCUGUCAUGUUUGUUAAUGUAUCUUUGCACUAUAAAGUCACUCAUUUACAUAAUGCACUUUUAAAUGACCUGCUAAAUCUUCAGAGCUCUUAACCACCACUCAUGUUGGCUGUUUAUUAUUUGACAGAAUUAACUAGUUGGCAGCUGUAUGUAACUGUAUGCAUUUUUAAUAGGUUGCUAUCCUCUUUCAUAGUUCCAUUAUAAACCACUGGACAGGUGUGCCUCAGCAACAGUGUUUAAGACCAUUGUGUGCAUUUCAAAGCAACACCUUGAACAAACAAAGAAAGCCUCACAGAUAAAAAAAAAAAAAAAAAGAAAAAAAAGAGAGAGAUGUAAAUGACAAUGCUUAACAGCUUCAAAAAGCACAAGAGUAGAAUGUUAAGCUGCAUAUGAAGGAUCAAAUUUCAGCCUUUAUUGAUAGUUUGCAGCUGGUGUCAUCAACAUUUCCUGAGGGUGUGAUGUUAACUGAAGUCACUGCUCUGUCUGAAGCUCUGUUACUCAAGCUAGACUUUAAUUUAGAAAAGAACUGACUUAGCUGGAGCUACAGGUGAGCUGAUUUGUGAUGUUAAACAAGUCCCUCUCAAAUAUAAUCACAAGCUGCAUUAGCCAACAGUUUUUCAAUUUGUCACGUCACCUUUAUUGCUGAAAAUCAAACAUCUAAACAGGACCAUGAGCGUUUGUAUUGAUCACAGGCUCCUGAUGUGCUAUUUAAAUCCAUUUUUUAUUUUCAGAAUAUCAAAAUACUUUUUGGCAAUACUUGCAAAUGUGUGCAUUGUGUCACUGUAGCAAAUGCAAAUGUAGCAAAUACAUUUUAUUUCAGAAA